rnacentral:lncRNA from 1 species
AGGCACUCCCAAGCGCAUGUAAUAAUUUGUUCAUCAUUUAAACUAUAGUGAGACGUUUCUAUAACCUUUGAAACAUAUGGAUAUUUAUAUUGACCUGUGCCAUUUAGUUAGCAUUUAGUUUUUCACCCAAGAACUCAUUAACAUACUGUUAUCUGCAUCCAAUACUAUGACUUUUCUUUCUGGGAGAAUGGGAAAAAAAAAUCUUACUAAUGUUUAAAUAGUCUAUAAAAAUGUGUUAUACCUCAAUAAGGUAAAUUAAGUGGGUAAGAAGUUAAAUCAAUAGCCUUUGCUAUGUUUUUUUUUUCUUCCUCCUUCUUCAAACAACCUUAUACCAAAUUAAAUGAAAUACUCUGAGAUUUUGCAUUGUUCUAUUUUCCCUAUUUAGCAAAACCUUAAAAACCUUACAAGAAAACUUACAUGAAAUUCUAAAUAUGAAUGAAAACUGUGCAACAUGGCCUAGAUUGUGGUCCAUUUUCAUGUUCUUAAGGCUGAGUAAUAGACAUUUGACAAAGAUUGAUUCUACUCACCUGCUCCAGACCAGUCUUGGUCUAAGCAUGGCCUGAGAUUGUUUCCUCAUAUCAAGAACUGGAUAGUUACAAAAUUGCCCACUGCUUCCUUCUGUUCUCAAAUCGAACAGAGAGGAUAAUUUAAUCAUCCUUGCCAUGUGUCCUCCAUUCAUGAGCUAUCACCUUCAAUACAUUUCAAGUUACAAGGUAAAUCUCUGGAAAAACAUGUGGAACCCACACAUAAUUUAAGCAUUAACAUAUUGCCUAAACCAUGGUUUGGGUUUCUGUGAUCUCUCUAUAACAUUAAGAAUAAGUUGUAAAAAUCCAUGCAUUUCAUUCGUGAUAUAUUCCAAGUGCAGUACUUUAAAUGGUUGCCCUUCCAGGCUCAUUGUUUUAUAGCUUAUGUGACAGAAGCUAUUUUUCCCAUGAGUCUAUAUGGACUCAAAAAUUAUAUUCCUGAAUGGCAGAUGGUUUGAAGUAUGAAGUGUACUUUAAAAUAAGCAUAGGCAAUGUAAUAGUACACACUCAUUAGUUAAAGUUGCAUUCUAGGAUUACUCAGAUUUCUUAAUUAUAAAUUUAUAUCUGAGAGGCAUUUAGUUAGCAUUCUAAUUAGAAAAAUCCCACUGUAUAUGUGGCUGCUGAAAGUGCUUCAUUUAUCUCUCUAUCUGAUCAACAGCAGUGGCUUUUUGACUGGAAUAAUGGAUGUUAGAAAUGUUUUUGUUGUUGUUUUGUGUAUACAUUUUAAAUAAGUAGAGUCAAAGACGUGAAUUUUCUACACGUCAUUGAAACAAUCUUUACCUUUGCAAGGACAGAAUAAAAAAACUUUAGAAAUUGUGAAGUUUAUAAUCUUAGGCUAACACACUAGACUUGUUUCUUAAAGUUCUUGGAUUAUCUUGAAUUGGAGGAUUCUGAAUAUGAUCGAUGAAACUAAUAAGGUUAACUCAAAGUGCCUUCAGAAUAUGGACUUGUUCACAUCAAAUAAAUUAUUAGUAAAAAAUGUGGUCUUAACAACAGGUGGCUAGAACUUCAUCCAGAUUACAGAAAAAAUUAAAUAUUAUUUUAUGCCUGCUUGAUAAUCAAUGUUUAGAUAUAGGUUAAAAUUCAAUCUGACUAGACAUACAUUUAUUUUAACUUGGUAGCUAGACUUUUGGGUAGUGGCUGACUCAUCCUCACCAAGAGAUUACUCACAUUUACCAAAAAAAUUAUUUACUUCUUGUAUAUUACAAAAUAAAAAUCAAUGCAGGUACUCUGCAACAACAUGAACAUGUUGUAAGCAAUGCUCAAAAUAUGAGAUUACGAAUUUGGAAGUCAUGCAUUUUUAUUAUAUGUAUUUGUUCAAGAAGACUUUUAGUCACAUUUCUUAAACCCUAAAGUCUUCUAAUAGCUACUCUAUAAUCAAUGGUAUUUUCUCCCUCAUAGGAAACAAAGAAUUAAGUAUUAAAAUACUCUAGCACUGUUUAGUCAUGGAGUGAUAAAUGUCUCUCCUGAAAGGAUAAAAUUUUAUAUUAUUUCAACAAAUACAAUAUGUAAGGUUUGUAAUAAUCUACUCCAAGUUUGUGCCACCUUGCUGUCCAAUAUUACUAAUUGAAAAUGAUCCAUUUAUUGUAUCCACCUCAAAUAAUGAAAUAACUUUGUGACUAAUAUGAGCAGAUCUAAACAUAGGCAAUAUUUUUCAUCAAAAAAAGGUAACAAAGGGGAUUAAAACACCUUGCUUCCCAAUCUUAGGUGUAACUCUGAAAUUUCCCCCAUGUAUCUGAAAAGAAAGGGUAUUUUAAGAAGGUAAUUCAGGUAAUAUUUGAAUGUUAAUUUUUUAUAAAUAGAAGAUUAAAGCUUUUCAAAGUAACUAGUCAACUUUUCUUGGUAUUUUAAAAUUUCUACAUCAUUGUAUACUUUAAAGAACUAAAAGUAAGCCUAUUUUAAGGCGGUCACCCUUGAUUUUAGUUAUCAAUGCCUAAGAGACUAUCUUAGCUAUGUAUUUUUACCUUAUGCUGCAAUUACUGAGACAGUAUAAAACAGACUACAUAUCAGUUUAGUCCACUUCAUAUUUUUUAACUUUUCAAAAGAAAAUGUUCUGUUGUGUUAUACAUCUUGAGGGAAUAUGGGACUCAGAGUAGAAUAGUUUGAGUUUGUUGGAUGUACAGGUGAAAUCCUAAAAAUAUAAAAGCUGUAUUUAUACAUUAUAAAGCAACAAUGAUAUACUUAUACAUGUAAGCAUUAAACAUAGAAAUGUAAUAUAAUCCAAGUGGCCAUAAUUUUUACUACUUAGAAGCAAAUUGUGGAAAGAAAUUCACUUUGUCACUAGACUCAAGUCAUUCCAUAUCAUUUGCAGUAUUUCUUUUACUCAGAAGGAAUACAGUUUGUCAGGACAAGGUCAAGUUCUUGGGCUACUUCUACUCUGUGCAAUUAAAAUCCUAGAGUGAUUUUAAAUCCAAUCACUUAACAGAAACAAUUCCAGUUUCCAUUUGUUGACUCAACAGAUUAAUAAAAUGUAUAAAUCCUUAGACUGACUAUUUCUGUAAAAGAGAGAAUGAGAGAGAACAAAUUAUCAGAGCCAGGAAAGGAAGAGGUAAAGUUACAGAUGAUAGAAGGAUAUUAUUAGGGUGAUACAAUGAUACUAUGAUGACAAUAUAUUUGACAACUUGGAAUAAAUGAAAAAAAUGAUUUGAAAAAAAUAACAUCAAAAUUGACACAAGAAGAAAUAUAUCUGAAUAUUUCUGUAUCUGUUUAGAAAUUAAGUUUGACAUAGUUAACCUUCCCAUAUGAAAAUGAACCAGUUGGUUUUACCAGAAGUAAAAAUACCAAUCUUAUACAAACUUAUGUAUUUUUGAGGAAUUAUAUGGUGAGAAAACAAUUUUAAACACUUUUAUGAGGCCAGCGUAUCCCAAUAUCAAGACCUAUAAAGGACAUUACAAGAAAAAAAAUAUAAUACAAAGCAAUAUUACUCAUAAGCAUGAAUAUAACAUUUUUUAAAACUUUUUUUUGCACAGAAACAAAGAGAAAAAUAAUGAACAAGUUAAUUUUUUUCAGAAAGCUGGGAAAAGCACUAAAGUAUACCCCAGGAGAAUGGAUAAACAUUUUGGUACACUCAUUCAUUGCAAUAUUACUCUGCACUGAUAAAGAAUAAACUCCUUUUGUACAACUUCAUUGAAUCACAAAAUAUAAUGCUGAGCAAAAGAAUUCCAUAUAUUAGAAAUAAUAUCCUCUAUGGUUUUAUUUAUAUGGGGUUCAUAAACAAGCAAAAUUAAUAUUUGGUGAUAAAAGAUAAGUAUUGGGGUUGUCUACAGGGUACAGAAAAAGAUUUCAUGGGGGAAGAAAGAAUGUCUCUAUUCAUAAAAAUAUUUAUAGCUUGAUAGAGGUACUGGUUAUAUGGUGUACAUGUUUGCAAAAAAUAGUAAUAUGAAUAUUUUAGAUAUGUGCAUUUCAAACAUAUACAUUUUAUAUCAAUUAAAGUUUAAAAUAAAAAAAAACACAAGACUUUAGGUUUGAUUUAGGUCUGUGAAAACACGCCCUCCACAUAUUUGGUGUCUGAAAAGUUUUACUAAUUCUGAUAUUUCACACAACAUAAUGAUUUUUAAGGAUAGCCAAGUAUUUAUUGUAUUAAUUUGCCAGUGCUGCUAUAACAAAAUACCAUAGACAGGAUGGCAUAAAAAUAAAUAUUAUUUUCUUACAGUGUGGAAUUUGGAAGUCCAAAAUCAAGGUGUUGGCAGGUUUGAUUUCUACUGGGGCCUCUAUCAUUAUCUUGCAGAUGUCCAUCUUCUUCAUGUAUCCUCACAGGUCCUUUUCUCUUUGCAUACACCCUUGGUUUUUUUCCCUCUUCCCAUAAGGGAACCAAUCAUAUUGGAUUAGGGCUUUACCUUUAUGAUCUCAUAUAAAUUUAAUUACUUCUUUAAAACCCCCAACUCCACGUAUAGUCACAUUGAGUGUUAUUGCUUCUACCUAUGAAUUCUAGGGGAGACAAUUCUGUCUAUAACACUUAUCUCCUCAGCUUAGACCUGGAAUAUCAACACUGCAGUAAUCUAAGAUUUAUGGAUGCAUUUGUCAUAGAUUGCCCUAGGGUGGUGGAAUUCCUUUGGAGACUAGUCAUUAAUUCCCCACUGUAAACAUGACUAGGAAAAUUCAAAAGGAGUUCACGGGGAGAUGUCUUUAGGAAGGGCACUGCUCUGCUUAGAUGAUUCAUCUCUCAAAAUUAAAGAGAAAAAACUGAUAAGAGUAAGUAUUCCAAGGCACUUAUUUUAUCCCAUAUCUAUCUCUGAAGGCAUUAUUUCUUCUUCUCUUGGUACUGCUGUAUGCAAAUAAUAAACUGAACUUGAAUUCAUAUUGUCAAGAAGGUACUCAUUGUAAGAAAAAUGCUAAAACUCAUGGAGAAUUUUUGUACUUUAAUUAAGAAUUCUGAACUUUAUUAUGAACGUAGCAUUUGAUAUAGAGUAGAUUAUCAUCUUUUGGGGAGUAGUUAAUCUUGACCACAAAUGGUCCAUGGAGUUUUCAUAAAGGAAUAGUGGUUAGUUUUAUGUGAGCAUUUCCACAAAGGAAAAACAUGGACUUAAGGCUAAAUUUCAAUGUUUAAGAGAUCCAAAUCCUGGGAGGCAUUCAGGGCUAGGCUUAGCAUUCCCUCUGUUUUCUUGUGGAGGGUUUUUCUCUAUGAAUUCUCUUGAUGGUCUGUUCUUUUCUUCUUAUGCAUUUAUUGGAUAUCAAAGGAUUCACCUAGCUGAUUGAGGACAUUUCAUGGUUGGGUAUGCUAAAUUUAAGUAAUUGUCUAGCUUUCCUUCUCCAUCUUGGCCUCGGGUUAGGCAAUGAUCUGAGUAAGAGUGGUUACUUCGCAGGUCCAAAUUAUCACUCAGGUGAGAUAUCUGUGGUAAUAUCUAUGGAAGGGGGUUAUCAGAUCCAUUUGGCUUUUACAUUAAAUUAAAUUUUCCAGUGUCAGCAUCACCAGAAAUAACACUGAAUAAUUUAUAUCCAUUUCCUUUUGGUUCUUAUAUUGGAAUAAGAAAAGGAACUUUAUGAGUCCUCUCAGACCACACAAAGGAGUAAUGUAAACAUUGAGUAUCUAUCUUCAACGAAUGUACAGACUAUAAGUGUUUACUUAUCAGUGCAACACUGUUAUGGCACCUGUUUCAUCUUCUGCGAUUUUCCAGUCAGCUGGGCUUUAAAAUUUCUCUCCCCUAUUACACCAUAAACUUCUUGAGGGCAAGACUAAGUCUCUGUCUUAUUUAAUAUCUUCCUACCACCCAGUACAAUGCCAUAUAUGUAUUAUUGAAAGGCAAUGCAUAUUUGUUCAAUUAGUUGAAAUAAACUGAAUUACUUUUAACUUCAAUAAUCACAGAAAUGAUCUAUUUAUUUUAGGCAUUUGUUUAAACACACUGUAUUUCAAAUUAAACACUUUAAUAAAAGUAUCCUUUUUAGCCAUGAAAUAUUUUUUCUUUGGAAAUGUUAUUUAAAUUUCUUUUUUUAAGGUAGUAACAAGCCAAUAUAAUUUUUUUUUAUUGAAAGGCUCAUAUUAUGAUGGGUAAAGAAAAAGGAAACACCUGUUCUAUUUUGGUAGUAUCAAUUGGUAUAUAUAGAUGGAACUGAGGAGAGACAGGGUUUUUUGGUGGUUGUUGUUAUCUCUGUAAGUUGAGAGGCUCAUAAUAAUUGGACUAUAACAUUUUCCCCAGAUGUUUAUGGUAAGAAUUAAAUAGAAAAUAUCUGAGGUUGCAAAGCAUAGUCCCAAAUUUUUCUAUAAAGUUUUUUUUUCCUAUUCUAUAUCAGCUAACGUCUUCCAGGGCUCAGAAGCUCAGGCUAAUGUUAUGUUUAGCUUGUUUUUAUACAAAUGAUUGAUGUAUGAACAAAGAAGCAGACACUCUCUCCUCCCACCCCCACUUCCCUCUAUAUAGUAUCUAUUUAGUUUACCAAUACAUUUUAUUAAUAUUAAUCAACUAGUUACAAUAGAUGGCAUUCUUAACUGCAUGUCAAACCUUUCAGGUAGAUGCCUAGUGCAUAGAUCCUGCAUUUAACAGAUAAAACAAUCCAGUUUCUGUUCCAUGCAUUUUGUAUUCCUCUCUAUAACCACAGUUUGUGAGUUUACACUUCAAAAAAACAACAAGCAGACUAAAAAGUGUAACUGUGCCUUUUCAGCUUACUUCCUAUGUGAGAUGAAUACUAAUAUUUCACUUCCUUCAAACAGUGUGAAAAAUUGGCCAUUGAAAAUCCUGUGUAUGUUGGCAGUGCACUCGUUGGGUCCAAUGCUUCAUUCAUCCUUACCUUGCUUUAAAUUGAAUUUCAACUCACAGAGAGGAC